rnacentral:rRNA from 1 species
UACGUAGGGCGCAAGCGUUGUCCGGAAUUAUUGGGCGUAAAGAGCUCGUAGGCGGCUUGUCACGUCGGGUGUGAAAGCCCGGGGCUUAACCCCGGGUCUGCAUUCGAUACGGGCUAGCUAGAGUGUGGUAGGGGAGAUCGGAAUUCCUGGUGUAGCGGUGAAAUGCGCAGAUAUCAGGAGGAACACCAAUAGCGAAGGCAGCUCGCUGGGACGGUACUGACGCUGAGGCGCGAAAGCGUGGGGAGCGAACAGG